rnacentral:lncRNA from 1 species
GCAAUUUGUACAAAAAGUGCAUGUACAAAUUUCAAUUUGUACAAAAAUGGACAAAAAAUCACUUAUAACUUGUACAAUAAUUUAUCAUAUGGAUUUUGGUGAAAAAAAAGCAUUGAUACACAUAAUUGAAUUGAUAUUAAAUGACCACACAGUACACCUUAGUUACAAAAUUCAAAAGUAUUCUUUAUCAUUCUUUGAGCAGGCGAUCUAGUGAUUUAUGGAAUCGGGUAUUGCACAACAUCUUUUGACUCUCAAAUCGAUGACGACCUGUUUUAGAGGCAUUUUAACUGCUUCACAUAGCGAACGUUAAAGCUCAGGAACCGUUGCUAUGAAUACAAACAUGUGUAUUUCACUGCUUCAGUUCGACUUAUAGACAAA